GUAAUGGACCACGGACUGAGUGACACUACUCACAAACUGACAAAAUUUGUCUACAGUUUACCAAAAAUCUCCUAUUGUCUCCAAAUUAUACAAGAUGUCGAAGACUUUGGUAUUUAUCCUCGUCGGAAUGAUCGCUCUUAGCGUUAUCCAGAUGUCAAACUGCGAUAAUGGAGUUGAAGUGUGUAAAGAUACAGAGGGCGUAGAUUGUGCUGCCAUAGCUGGCGAGUGUGACAAUGAGAAAAACUCUGAAAAAGUAUACGACUGCUUCAAGACAUGCGGAUAUUGCUAUUGAAGGUCCGUAUUCCUGCUCAAGCAGGUAUCCAACAAGGAACACUAUCGUCGGUUUAUCUUAAAGUGCAUCUAUACGCCGUACGUUAGGCCUAUUGGUUAAAUUCGUCGUUCGUUUAUUACAUUUACUACUAAUAUUGUUGAAAUACUGUUGAACUAAUGUCGUGAGGAAUCGAACGGAUAUUAUCGACCUAUUCCUACCUUAUUAACUUCAUUUAGUAAAAAUGUAGCUAGUUCUUGCUUUUUUGAUGACUAUGUACUUCCAUUUUAUUAUCAUGUGCUUCCAUUUAACCAAUCAAUGCUUCCAUUCCGUAGGAAAUGCCUCCACUGAGGCAUAUUCUAAACGCAUCACUUAAUUUCUUAAAAUGUUUCGUAUGGAUAUACCAACUGGAUAAAUUCGAUAUAUAAUAAUUGAUAGUUUAUAAUUUCUUUGCCACUCCUUGAGAAAUCGUAAUAAAGUCACAAUAGAGCAAGUAAAA